UAAAGAAUUUCGGUUAUCGAUGGGGAUGCGUUCCAUUAGUUAGUUGGCGGGGUAACGGCCCACCAAGACGACGAUGGAUAGGGGUUCUGAGAGGAAGGUCCCCCACAUUGGAACUGAGACACGGUCCAAACCCCUACGGGAGGCAGCAGUGAGGAAUAUUGGUCAAUGGACGAGAGUCUGAACCAGCCAAGUAGCGUGAAGGAUGACUGCCCUAUGGGUUGUAAACUUCUUUUAUAUGGGAAUAAAACAGGGUAUGCAUACCCUCUUGUAUGUACCAUAUGAAUAAGGAUCGGCUAACUCCGUGCCAGCAGCCGCGGUAAUACGGAGGAUCCGAGCGUUAUCCGGAUUUAUUGGGUUUAAAGGGAGCGUAGGUGGAUUGUUAAGUCAGUUGUGAAAGUUUGCGGCUCAACCGUAAAAUUGCAGUUGAAACUGGCAGUCUUGAGUACAGUAGAGGUGGGCGGAAUUCGUGGUGUAGCGGUGAAAUGCUUAGAUAUCACGAAGAACUCCGAUUGCGAAGGCAGCUCACUGGACUGCAACUGACACUGAUGCUCGAAAGUGUGGGUAUCAAACAGGAUUAGAUACCCUGGUAGUCCACACAGUAAACGAUGAAUACUCGCUGUUUG
rnacentral:rRNA from 1 species